UACGUAGGGGCAAGCGUUGUCCGGAAUUACUGGGCGUAAAGCGCACGCAGGCUGAAUUAUAAGUCGGUAGUAAAAGGCGGGGGCUCAACUUCCGUAUAUCUAUCGAUACUGUAAAUCUGGAGUAUGUGAGAGGGAAGCGGAAUUCCCGGUGUAGUGGUGAUAUGCGUAGAUAUCGGGAGGAACACCAGUGGCGAAGGCGGCUUUCUGGGCAUUUCCUGACGCUGAGACGCGAAAGCGUGGGUAGCGAACCGGAUUAGAUACCCGUGUAGUCCCUGA
rnacentral:rRNA from 1 species